CUUUUGUUAUGUGUUAUUAGCGAGGGGCAACCUUCCGAUCUCUCUAAUGAAGCCAACACGGAAGUGAUUUAAACUGCAAUUCAUCGACUGGCUCCAAAAGGGAGUCAAUUCCCAUAGACUCCCAUGUUAAAAAUUGCCAACUUUACAGUAGAAAAUAAUAUGUUUACAGCCUGGUACAAAAAGUGUUUUUGGCCUAUAUAGCUAAUUUUGCCCGUCAUGACAACUGUGAGGGGGGUGAAUGUUUUUUUUGUAACUCAUCCGUUUAAAUUAUAUUAAGCCUUAAACUUCUGCAUAAUUAAGGGCGUGGCCGCUUGAGUGUCGGUUGAACAGCCACUGCUGUCACUAGACUCGCGCUAGGCGGGCGUGGUUUCACCUCAGCUUCACCCAUAUCCCGCCUCUUUACGUCAAUGUAUCGCGAGAGGGAGUCAAGAAAUUACACUCUCGCGGUACAAUGACGUUUACCUGUCAGCGCAGCAAGAAGUCGAACACACGUAUUUGCGUGCGCGCGCCUCGGUCCUUGUGAGUUCAAAGUGGAUUCUAACCGUUUACCUCAGACGACAGUUUUCAUUUCUAUGGUAAAUUCUAAGGUCAUUUUCUUGUUGUGUUGUGAUGUGUUCCAUUGGCUGAAGAAUUACCAUGCAAUUUGAUGAAGUGUGAUAAAAUACACAGAGGUGAAGUCACGUGUCUUUCCAGAUGCCCAAAUCUGUACCACUCAAAAGAUGAGCCUGAAGAGGAGAUUUGGGAAGAUGCUGUUUCAUAAGUCUUUGCUUUGCCAGAUCACCUGUGGUCGGGAUGUCUGCUAACAUGAUGCCUUGUUGGUCUGGGCGAGUUUGAAGUCUCUCACAGACAGUCCAGAAGGUCUGGAGUCCAUGUUAGCUUUUAUUGAUUAACUACAUACGGUCCCUUGGGGGAGCCAACCCAGGUGAAGUCCACUGAAGUCCCAAUUGCCUACAGCAUGAAAUGGAGGAAGGAGACUGGAUGACCGCUCCGUGCAACGAGUGACAAGGAGUGAACCCUCGUCAGUCAUUUGUCAGUCGCAUGAUCUGUGUGGGGAGGGGGGACUCCUGGCGUAGCCUAUCACAGUAGGCGUACUGAGGAGGAUGAGCGCCGCGUAAGGAGUGUAGCAGGAGAAAACACUAGUUGAGACGAGAGUUGAAGAAAAAGAUGGAUUUACUAGAGGCUGUUUACACUUGUCAUUAACAUGCGUUUUAAUCAAUCGGAUCACAAUGUUUUGCGUCUUUUCUGACUUUUCUGACACAAGGUGAACAGUGCUAUUUUUAGCCUUUCAUUGAUAAACUAAAGCGGGUGAUCUCCGCAGUUUCAUUUUGCAAGAGUGUGAAAGUUGCGCGAUCUUAUUUCAUCAAUUGCGCUGAAAAUUCAGAGAAAGCUCUAACAUAUACAUGUAGAAAAUACUGUGCAGCAUGUUUACUUCCUAAACAAGCAGUGGACAUAAUAUUAGUUUGCGUCCAUAUAAACUCAUAAUUACUCCCGCUGGCGUUUAAAUGACAGCGGAGAGACUCGACCACCGUCUCGACAGACCACCCCCUCACAGUAUUCAGGACAGAAGCGGUCGAAAGUGGACAAAAGAGACGGAUUUAAAUACCAGGUGUAAACGUGAUAUGUCUCUCUCGUCCACUUGUGAUCUGAUCAAAAACACAUCUUAAUACCAAGUUUAAACAGCCAAGUUUCAAAACCAAACGCUACAGCUGCAGUGUGGGAGUACUUUGGAUUUAAACCUAAUGACCGAGGUGAACCACUAAACCUGAACGAGCCGUUAUGUCGCAUUUGUGGUAAAAACGUAGCACUUAAAAGUGGCAACACGACAAACAUGCAUAUGCACCUAAAACGCAAUCAUCCUGUUAUUUUGUUCAUUUCUUGUGGAUAUUUAAAAUGUCUUCCAGUUCCAGUAUUACUUAUUGUUUAGAAAUAAAAGUUUAUAGAUCUUUGAAAAGGUGUAUCUGCAUUAUUAUAAUGGUCCCGGAGCAUCAAUGUUAUCGUCUAUCGCGAUAAAUUCUGAGGCAAUUUAUCGUCUAGCAAUAUUUGUUAUCGUGACAGGCCUAACUUAGGACUGAUGUGAUUUGUAACUGGUACUGAUGUGCUUAUAAAAUAAGAAAAACAUAUAAAUGAUCAGAAUAUCAACUUGCAUAAUUAUGCAUGUAGUAAUCAUAACAACAGUUACAACCAUACAUCACAAUUGUGGUUAUACAGGAGUAUGAGUAUGACAUGACAUGAUGAACUUGUAUGUUUAAUUCAGGGGUGGCAAAUGUUGGUCCUGGAGGUCUGCAGUCCUGCAGAGUUUAGCUCCAGCUCUAAUCAAACACACCUGAACAGGCUAAAAUCAAGGUCUAAAGAGUUACUAGAAAGCUACGGGCAGGUGAGCUUUUAUCAGGGUUGGAGCUAAAAUCUGCAGGACUGCCCUCUCCAGGACCAAUGUUCGCCAUCCCUGGUUUAAAUGGCACAUAUUUUACAAGGCCAAUUCUUAUGAAUUUGUACAGUAAAUCAUACAAAUACCUAUGACUAUUAUUAAAAUAAGAAUGAAUUAAAUCAGUACAAUGAGCCACCUCGUAACAUACAUAGUACUAAUUGCCAUGAGAUUGUGUUUUUUUAUAAUCAGCUGAAAAAUUAAUUUAAUUCUUUCAUCGAAUUGUAUUUACAAUCUACACAUUAUAGAAAUUAUUGACUGUGAUUAUUUUAUUUUGUUUACAGAAUCAACACAGAAAAACUACAAGGCAUUAAAGGCCCUUGACGUGGAAGACUUAAUUGCAUUAGCCCUGAAAUUUGCCCCACACAGAAAUUUAAAAUGAUGGCAGAGAUUGCUGUGGAGUUCUGAAGUUCAUUGUUUAAAUGUUUUCAUUUUUUAUAUAUUAAAAUGUUUUUUAUGAUACAAUGUUCUACAUGUUUAUUGCCAAUUUUAUGUGUUAUAUAAGCAAAUUAUCUACCCUAUUAUAUUAUUAUCUAAGUCUAUAAAUUCUAUAAAUGUUCCUGUGAUUAAUGAUUUUGAUUUUAUGUCUACGAAUAAAGAAUCCAUGGAUCAACAUGGAUUGUGUG